rnacentral:rRNA from 1 species
UACGUAGGUGGCAAGCGUUAUCCGGAAUUACUGGGUGUAAAGGGCGCGCAGGCGGCCCUGCAAGUCUGAUGUGAAAGAUCAAGGCUCAACCUUGACAGGCCAUUCGAAACUGUGGGACUUGAGUGUCAGAGGGGAAAGUGGAAUUCCUAGUGGAGCGGUAAAAUGCGCAGAUAUUAGGAGGAACACCGGUGGCGAAGGCGGAUCUCUGGGCCGAUACUGACGCUGAGGAGCGAAAGCAUGGGUAGCGAACAGGAUUAGAUA